CAAUUUCUGUGUCAGAUAUUGCGUCUAAGCAGAUGAGAUAUUUAGAUGCAAAAAGCACACAAUACUGUUGACAAUUAGUGGUUAUAUAUAUUUGUAUUAAAAGUACGAACAAAGAUACAUCACAACAUGCAUCAACAAACAACAUAACAGGCAUACAUUACAAUAAUCUGAGGCCCCAGAUGGGAGCUUCUCUUUGCGUGUUACUUCAUACUCAAGGUACGCUGGGGAGAAGUCCACUGAGUGUUUGAAAUCAAUGAGUUCUUAUUCACUUCGACCAGAUGGUUAUCUUUACAACUGAAGCUCCCCUGGAUGCCAUUGGAGGGGGUAGCGGCCGUGCCACCUAACCCCCUCUUCGUUUACGCUAGCCAGGGGGUCGUGGAACAAGCCCAUACAUCAAAGCGUGGCUUGAAAGCUGAUUUACAACACACGAAAAGAUAGGAAGAGGCAGGCAAUAAAAUGCAUCACGCGACCCUCUAACGUUCACACUUUAAAUGACCCAAAAGGAGAGCAGAAGGCAGUCAAUAUAUGCAUCACACAAAAUAAGUUCAUAGAUAGACCAAAAACGUAACAACAUGUAGAUUUUCCAUCACAAUCCCCCCUUUGAUUAUUUUAUAAUCACAAAUUCAAAAAUCUAUCAUGUCCGACCAUCAGCACUUCCCCGCUUUUAUAGGAGGUUGUUCAGACUAUUUAUACCACCGUUCGCUUUUACAGAAGGUAGCAUAAAAUCACCUAACAUCACAAUCAAGUCAUCUGUUUCCAUAUAUUCAAAAGUCAUAAAAAUAAAAACAGAAAAGAAAACCAAAACAAAGAAACAAGGCUACCUUUUAAAAACAUUUCUAAACAAAAAUAUUAACCCAACAUUUAAACGGUAUUCUUCUUCUCUUUCCCAUUGUCCUUCAUGAUGUCUCUGAGGGACCUACAUGGGGUUUGUUUAAUUCUUUUUUUUUUUGUAAUUAUUUCCUUUGGUUUGCUUUGGUAUACCCAAGGUUGUUGUUGUGGGCUCCCAAUCCCCCCUCUUGACGCAUGAUUCUCCCAUGUGUAAAUUUACCAUAAAUAAGGGAAAGCCCAGGCCUGUAAGCAUGGCUUGCUGUUGCGAGC
ensembl:lncRNA